rnacentral:rRNA from 1 species
AUUGAACGCUGGCGGCAGGCCUAACACAUGCAAGUCGAACGAGUGGCGGACGGGUGAGUAAUGUCUGGGAAACUGCCUGAUGGAGGGGGAUAACUACUGGAAACGGUAGCUAAUACCGCAUACCAUCGGAUGUGCCCAGAUGGGAUUAGCUAGUAGGUGGGGUAAAGGCUCACCUAGGCGACGAUCCCGAGAUGGUCUGAGAGGAUGACGAGACACACUGGGACGGAGACACGGCCCAGACGCCUAUGGGAGGCAGCAGUGGGGAAUAUGGAACAAUGGGAGCAAGAGUGAUGCAGCCAGGCCGGGGGUAUGAAGAAGGCCGUAGGGUUGUAAAGUAAUUUCAGCGGGGAGGCGUUACAGGCAGAAGAAGAACAGGCUAACUCCGUGCCAGCAGCCGCGGUAAUUG